rnacentral:rRNA from 1 species
AACGAACGCUGGCGGCGUGCCUAACACAUGCAAGUCGAGCGCGAAAGCCUUCGGGUGAGUAGAGCGGCGCACGGGUGAGUAACACGUGGGUAAUCUGCCCUCAGGUCUGGGAUAACUCGGGGAAACUCGAGCUAAUACCGGAUAAGACCGCGCAACGAGAGUUGUGUGGGAAAAGUAGGGGACCUCUUCGGAGGCCUUACACCAGAGGAUGAGCCCGCGGCCCAUCAGCUAGUUGGCGGGGUAACGGCCCACCAAGGCGAAGACGGGUAGCUGGUCUGAGAGGAUGAUCAGCCACACUGGAACUGAGACACGGUCCAGACUCCUACGGGAGGCAGCAGUGGGGAAUCUUGCGCAAUGGGCGAAAGCCUGACGCAGCAACGCCGCGUGAGUGAUGAAGGUCUUCGGAUCGUAAAGCUCUGUCGGCAGGAACGAUGGAUAUCGUGGCUAACAUCCACGGCAUCUGACGGUACCCUGCAAAGGAAGCACCGGGA